rnacentral:lncRNA from 1 species
AAGAUCAAAGCCAGAACAGUUUCUUCAUCUUCUCCUUCACCUCGUUCUUUUUUUAUUACUAUGAUUCUCUCUCUCUGUGGAAAAUUUCAGGUACCAGUCAGACUCUGUGUACAUUCCAAAAGACCAGAGCAAUAAAAGAAAGUCUCUCUCUCUCUUUCCUCUCACUCCUGGGCGACCCGCGACCUUGUAUAUAAGAGCUAAAAAGCUAUAAUAAAUAAGUAUAAAUAACUACAUAUCUAUAUUAAGAACAAAAUCAACAAAAGAAAGUAAGAAUUUAAAGUAAAUAGCUUAGUAAUGCCACUUAUUUUUGUAUAAGUUUGAUAAUUCUAUUUUGUUGCCAUCAAUUUGGAAGAAACUCAUAUUUACACUACAUCAAUUUAUUAUCAAAUGGAUAAUCAAUCACGCAUGCAUCCAUAAUUGCAAAUUAGUGCAAGGAAUCAAAUCAAAGAAAAUUAAUAUGUUUGUGUAAUAAAUUCCAAUACGGGUGGGGUGCCUUCAAGUAAGCAAUCAUUGACAGAUGGAUGGAGCAGUAAGAUAUAGAUCAACGAGGCUAUAAAAAGAGAGAGAGAGACAGACAAAGUUUCUGGUAUAAUUGAGUCGAGAAGAACGAUAAAGGCAUACCUGAAACUGAGAAGGUGGUUCGGAGUUUGAAUUGGGUGUAGUAUAGAGGAGCUUCGGAUCUGAGCUGAGAGAAUCUACGAUCGCUUUGGGUGUUGUGGAGGAAGAAUCUACUAUAUCUCCAUUUGCUA